rnacentral:lncRNA from 1 species
ACUCCUCGCACAGGGAAUGCGCAUAAGCUUCCGCCACACAAGGUCAGGCAAUACAAUUGAAUGACAUGCCCUCUCAGUGCAACACCCGCCUAAUAACACGCCCAAGCUCAGAGAUCAUCUCCAGCCUUAACAUAAGCAUGUGCCCGAGCAAGAUCUGCAUCGUCGGCAGGAUACAAACUCCAUGCAAAGAGCUUCCGUCACACCACCUCAGGCAAUACAAUUGAAUGACAUGCCCUCAUAAUGCAACAUCAUCAGCCCUAUAUGACGCCCGAGCAUGUAGCUCAUCUCCAGCCUCAACAUAAGCACAAGCCCAAGCUAGACAUGUAUCAUCGACCGGAUCCAAACUCCU